rfam:Rhizobacter gummiphilus strain NS21, complete genome.
GGGGCCGACCUGGCUUCGACGCGGGUGCGGAGUUGGAUCAGGGCAUGCCGAGGACCAGUCACCUCGUAAAUCCAUCUGGAUCAAAGUAACUGCGAACGACUCUACGUACGCCCUCGCCGCUUAAUACCGGUGAGCUUCGCAACGGUUGGCCGAUGGGCCGGGCCUGAGGGGCAACCCGAAGGCUGCGAAGUCAUACACAUUGGCUCGUUCCUUGGUGGGUCACUCACCAGGGAAUCAAAUCAAGUGACUCGGUUCCUGGGUAGCGUGCUGCUGCGCGACCCAGGGGCUCAAAACCAAAUCAGACAGCUAAGCAUGUAGAACUGCCCGGCAAUGGCUUGCGGACGCGGGUUCGAUUCCCGCCGGCUCCACCA